rnacentral:rRNA from 1 species
GACGAACGCUGGCGGCGUGCUUAACACAUGCAAGUCGAACGGAAAGGCCCUGCUUUUGUGGGGUGCUCGAGUGGCGAACGGGUGAGUAACACGUGAGUAACCUGCCCUUGACUUUGGGAUAACUUCAGGAAACUGGGGCUAAUACCGGAUAGGAGCUCCUGCUGCAUGGUGGGGGUUGGAAAGUUUCGGCGGUUGGGGAUGGACUCGCGGCUUAUCAGCUUGUUGGUGGGGUAGUGGCUUACCAAGGCUUUGACGGGUAGCCGGCCUGAGAGGGUGACCGGCCACAUUGGGACUGAGAUACGGCCCAGACUCCUACGGGAGGCAGCAGUGGGGAAUAUUGCACAAUGGGCGGAAGCCUGAUGCAGCAACGCCGCGUUCGGGAUGACGGCCUUCGGGUUGCAAACCGCUUUCGCCUGUGACGAAGCGUGAGUGACGGUAAUGGGUAAAGAAGCACCGGCUAACUACGUG